GACGUAGGAGGCGAGCGUUGUCCGGAUUCAUUGGGCGUAAAGAGCACGCAGGCGGUUUGGCAAGUCGGAUGUGAAAACCCGGAGCUCAACUCCGGACCUGCAUCCGAAACUGCCCGACUAGAGGUAGGUAGGGGGGAUCGGAAUUCCUGGUGUAGCGGUGAAAUGCGCAGAUAUCAGGAGGAACACCGGUGGCGAAGGCGGAUCUCUGGGCCUUACCUGACGCUCAGGUGCGAAAGCGUGGGGAGCAAACAGG
rnacentral:rRNA from 1 species